rnacentral:rRNA from 1 species
UACGAAGGGGGCUAGCGUUGCUCGGAAUUACUGGGCGUAAAGGGCGCGUAGGCGGGUCGUUUAGUUAGAGGUGAAAGCCCAGGGCUCAACCCUGGAAGUUGCCUUUAAUACUGGCGGCCUUGAGUAUGGCAGAGGUGUGUGGAACUCCGAGUGUAGAGGUGAAAUUCGUAGAUAUUCGGAAGAACACCAGUGGCGAAGGCGACACACUGGGCCAUUACUGACGCUGAGGCGCGAAAGCGUGGGGAGCAAACAGG